AGAAUUAACAAGAACUCGUGAUGUAACAUUGUUGUUUUGUCCUCAAAUGUAUUUACAACACGUCCCAUGUUGAUGUCAAUGAUGCGGGGUGAUGCACAUUGCGGUUGACUGCCCGCACGUGCUUUAAAAUUUAAAUAUGUUUCCAGCUACACUCUCUGUUGAUAUUUUGUAAAUGUUGUGUGUGAUUGUUUGUAGAAAUCGAUCUCACAAGUUAUGACAACUUCGAAAUUUUGUGUCCGUACUUCUAAAGGGGCCCUGAAACACUUUUUUGAACAUACAGUGGAAUCUCAUUGAUACGAUUCUGCAUAAUACAUUUUUCGGGAUAAUACGUUUUCCGUUCUUUUCCCAGCCUGUGUCUUACAGGAGCAAUGUAUUUCGGAUAAUACGAUUUUUGCAUGAUACGGUUUAUUUUCCGGUUCCCGUGAAGAUCGUAUUAACAAGAUUCCACUGUACAGUAAAAUCUCAUUACUACGAACCCCACAUUAACAAACUUUUCAGAUUAACGUAGUUUUCAGAAAUCCCCCGCUGACUUCUUAUGGGUUCAAUGUAAAAAUAUUUCAGUACUACGAACUUCAGAAUACCGAACUUUUCAGAAUAACGAUCAUUAUUCAGUUUCCGUGUCAGGUUAACAACGCCUCAGUACUACGAACUAAUAUUCAAAAAUCUGGGGAUUCUUUGAUUUCCCCGUAUCCAGUCACGGCAGCCAAAACAGGAGGCUAGUGGACGCCGCGGCGCAUGGGUUCGGGAAACCUGAGUACGCUGGCACGCAGCAUCGGCACGUUGGAAAGCGGGGCGGCCCCCUCUUGAAAGGCCAGUUGCCCAUGAUAAUCACUCCACGAGUUCCGAAAAAGCCUUGAAAGCAGCGAGACGAUCACGGGAAUCGGUGACAGCGGCAUGUCACAAGGGAAGCGGCUGUCGCCCGCGCACGUCUUUUCCGUACCAGCCAACCCUAAGGCUGGCAGAUGACAUGCCGGCGCGCGUUGCAGUGGGUCCGUCCCUGGUUUAGGGCGGCGCCCUUGUGCUCAACAACGACGCAGUGUAUCCAAAGACCCCGCGUGGACGGAUAUUCCAACAGCGCAGCUCAGUAGAGCAGUGGGACCAGCGAGGCGAGAAGGUGCGCAUCAGGUCGGGCAUCGCCGCGAACUACUUUAGCUCUCGACUCGCGCUUUUUCAUUCUGAAACAGGAUAAUAGUAUGUCAGCUUAACAUUCAGGUGAGCCGUUCUUUCUGAAAAGGUCCCAAAGUGGCGACUGUCAUGCGCAGGGCCGUCCGAACACUAGCUGAGGCGACGACGCAUCAGGUUUUGCAAGCGCAUGCUCCGCCCAGACAGGUGUCGCCUAGCAAUGGAGGCGCGUCUCUUCCUUCUUCCUGCGCGCCUCUUUUGCGCAGCUACGUGCGCGGAGAAAUGUAACCUUCGUACUUGCGGAGUUGCCACACGGUCACACUUUGUACUAUCUGGGCGGUGUCACUUACGCGCGCUUGUGCUUUGAAAUAGUUCACUGUGUCCACCUCAAGCAAGACAGCUGCGGUGUCCACGGCAAGGAAUGUGAAAAACAAACAAGCUUUGCAGGCGACAUGGAUCUUUCUUUUUGUUGGUAGUUUUCCCAGUGUUGGCAUCUGUUUUGAGCGUGUCACUCUUAUUACACGGUGCUUCGAUGGUGCAUGGGGCCGGAAUCUAUGGCAAAUAGCAACAGCACUGGCCGAGAGCGAAAAUCGCCGUCUUCGUGGAUAGCUCAUAUGGUGACAAGUUAUGAACUGAUGGGUUAGUGGGCGGAAUGGUUCAUUUUUGGACUUUCACUGUAACGACUUCAGAAUAACGAACCAUUUACCGCGGUCCCCUGAAGUUUGUUAUAUCGAGAUUUCACUGUAGUGUGAAAACAUUGCUGAUCUGUCGUAGAGGCUGCUGUGAACAUGUGAGCCAAAUAUUAUACUACAAUGCAUGCAGCACGGAAUUUACAAUCUUCUGUCAAACACCGGGAAAAAUCGCUCGCUCUCGUUUCCGCAAUGUUGUCAUGCAGCAUCAUCGAAAGCAGUUGGACCCAGCAACGCUUUUGGCUGAUUUCAUGAUCGCGAGAGCAUUCUCAGUAAUUCGUAAUUGCUAACUGAAGUUAAAUAAAUGAAAAAUAUUUUUUUUAUUCUUAAAAGACUGAAAAUUCAGUUCUUCGCUGCGUGUAGCUGUGUCUGCUGCGUGUGGCCUCCGAGGUACCAGCGGCAAGCUGUGUAGUGUAGUCUACCGCGGCUGCCGCGACACUCAACUUUUGACCGGGGCUUUGUGCCCUGUUGGCUUCUCCACUCUGUAGCUUCCAGCGCGCUAGCUAAGUCGAAAAGAAAGAGAAAGCCGGAUAUCUCUGCGAUAAGUCCACUUAUAGUUGACGGACUAAAAAAAUUAUUGCAACCUGUCAUUCGUGAGACUACGUCCUUUAAUAUUGAGACUAUCCGAUGAUUAGUUUUAAAAAAGCGUUUCAGGGACCCUUUAAGAGAAAGCUUUAGCUCCGAGCUUCCAAUUUAAAUACCUGGGAAGGGAGAAAUCGUUUUCUCAGCAGCCGCUGCAUCGAUUUUGAUGGCUUUGUUGCAAGAAAAGUUAAUUUUUUUUUACAAUUGUUGAAAUAAAAAAAAAAAGAAAAAAAUGAAAUUUUCUUAAUAUGCUGUAUGUUUAUCAGAUAAUUAAAUUGUCACACCUUGUUAUAACGAAGUUGCAUCAGAGACGAUACCUUCGUUAUAUCCAAUAUUCAUUGUGCACAUCUAUGCAUUACACACUGGUAUUGACAAGAGACAUCUUAGAUUUACUUUGUUGUAUCUUAUAAUUCGUUCUAUUGAAGUCCAACUCUACAGGGCUUCGAGAUACAAUAAUUUUUUUUUUCUAUGCUUUAUAGCAGAGGUGGGUGCCAGAUUGCACUAAAUGAUAUUACUCAAUGCAAUUAGUGAAAUUUUGGUGACGGACUUUUCAAAUGAAUAAGUUAGGGGCAUGUUGCGAUUGCAGAAGUCAAGCAAGCCAGUACUAAAAGUAUAGCCUCUUGCUAGGAAGCAUCUGUUUUGAGAAAUAAGUACUCGAGAAAUCUACAGUGAAAUCAGCAGCAAUUCUACCCACACCCCUGCAUUUUCUUUCAUGCCAAAGGUCAUUUCGAUUUUUCUCUCUC